rnacentral:rRNA from 1 species
UACGAAGGGGGCUAGCGUUGUUCGGAAUUACUGGGCGUAAAGCGUGCGCAGGCGGUUCGUUAAGUUCGUUGUGAAAGCCCCGGGCUCAACCUGGGAACUGCAAUGGAAACUGGCGGGCUUGAAUGCGGCAGAGGGGGGUGGAAUUCCGCGUGUAGCAGUGAAAUGCGUAGAGAUGCGGAGGAACACCGAUGGCGAAGGCAGCCCCCUGGGCCGACAUUGACGCUCAGGCACGAAAGCGUGGGGAGCAAACAGG